ensembl:lncRNA
CGCAGCGGCACCACCCAGAAUCGCAUGUGACAACUGAAUACGCAAGUAUAAAGAAACACACACCAUUUAUUAAGCUUCUCUUUUGAAUGCCGGGUCAGCAUCGUGACCGUUCCUUCGUCGAGCUGUGAAGGACGCUGAAAGGGAUUCACACACAGAAGCACACCCACGUAUUUACAGUAAGGCCUAGUAGGGUGAAAGGGUGGUUAAGGUGGGGUGAUGAUACGCGCUGGAUUAUAGUGAGACUGCGACCUUUCCCUUGGACUAUAAAAGCAGACCGUGAACACCAACCACAUGGGAAGUAUGGCUGUAAGCUCAUGUAGGAACACCGCGGUUCUUCCUGAACCCCAUGGCUCUAUUUUUUUGUCAAGAAAGGCUGCAUUGAAUGAAACGAAACAGAACGAAUUAAAGCCAUAAAAUGUGAAUCCACAACCAGCAACACGUACAGAACAUUGGCAUAACGACGAGCACAUUAUCGAAAACAAAAUCAACCACAACAUCUGAAAUAGGUAGGAUGGGCCGUCUGUGAGUGCUGUAUUUGUUUUCCCUAAGAUUUUCUUCUGCAAAGCCACACCGUAGUGCGGGAGCACGGAGAGAGAAGAGGUGUUAUCCACCAGCAGCCUGCUUCCUUGCGGAUACCACUCCACGUCCUGCUCUGUUCUGUCCUCACCGCUUCGACAACCUGCGCUGUAAACUAUAUUCACAACGCAACAUAGAAUUGGCAACUCUCUGUUAACAAUCCGAUUUUUGUUCUCCCCUGUAUUUUUAGUUUGUUCACAAUGAAAAUCAAACCGUUUCAUCAUUCGCUUGUCGAAGGCCAUAUACCCGCCGACACUCUUUUUCUUUAAUUCAGUACACUGUGAGUGCUUCCUUGUUGAGUUGUAGAUGAAGAGAGAGAGAGAGAGAGAGAGAGAGAGAGAGAGAGAGAGAGAGAGAGAGAGAGAGGAGAAGCGGAGUAGCCUGCUCCAUUUUAUAAAAUGUGAGCCUGGUCGGAUCUCACUCUUCAAAGAGUUUACCUUUAGGGAUUCAUCAUCUCCUUUAAUUAAAAGUGGAUUAAACACACAACUCUGGCCAAUCCCAAUAUAAUCCACCAGGAGAGAGCAGCGAGAGAUAGAUGGCCAGAAUUCCCAGCGCUGACGCUAGAAGAGAUUUAAUGAUAGAAAGCGCUCUCCCAAAAAUAGAAAUGGCAGCGAGAGAUGUGAAGGGAAAACAUUUAGCAUUAAGCACUGAAUACUUCUGGUAUGAUAUAUUCUCACCAUUGCCUCGCUUGUUAAAAAAAAUAGAUUUUACAAAGUGGAACCAUUUAACCGCAACGGAAAAGCGUUUGGUUUGGUCCAACAAUGUUAAUUGAAGUGGAGAUAAAACAUCUGAUAAAAAAAAAAAACGUAGGUAGUGUUAAACUGUCAACCCUUAUCACAAGUGUUAUCUGAAGCUUAAGUUAUGCAUCUUUUUUUUGAUAGAGUGCCCAUCGCUACCUUUUCUUCAAAACAGAGGCUCCUUGCACAGACUUUUAAUACAUCUUAGUAAUUGUAGUCCAACAUUAAUGAAGACGUUGCC